GAGGGAAGGAUGAGGUGCCUCAGGCAGUCCGCUGAGAAUGUGUGGAAGUGUGUGUGUGUCUGCAUGUGUAUGUAAGUCAGGAGAUAAGGCUGUGUCUCCUUUUGGCCUUGCUGAUUGAGAUGUAGCUAUCAGAGAAUGCAUCAUGAUUUACUGGUCUCUAUCUCUUUUUAGACUGUGAGCACAUUGAGAGUAAGAACUAUGUCUUCCUCUUCUUUUUACCUGUAAAGAAUAGCACAGUGUCUGGCAUAUGGAAGCACACAAUAUAUUUUUGUUGUUGAACGCUUAAAUUACUUUCAAGUCUUUUUUCUUAUGGUAGUAAUGAACAAGGCUCUUCUUUCAUCCUCUGUUGGAUGUUUCUUUGGAUAAUGACUCCGAUUCUGGGAGGAUGGAGACACAAAACCAUUUGACGGGGAGAUUGGAAACACUGUCCGGUGGCCCCUGGGAUAAUUUGACAAAACUGAUGUCCUUUUGAAUGCCAAUUCCAAAUGAUUGGUGGUGGCUGUCCAGAGCUAUGCUGAGAAGGAUUCUGAGGCUUCCUACAAUCAAUUGGUGCUGUGUGCCAGGGCGAGGGAGCUGGAGGUAGCAUCAAGUGGCCAUAUAUUUGCCCUGGAGAGAACCCCAUCCGCCAGCCCCCUCUGGAAGCCAAUCAAGGAUGGGUUAGAGGGACAUGGGUGGUCAGUGAGGGCCAGUCCUCUCACAGACAUCUUAAAUUCUGGGUGACCAAACCUUCGGAAGAGUACCUUGUCUUGAGAUGACACGAGAAAAUCAUGCUUGUACCAGCAUGGACUUGGGACCUUCUUAAACUGAACCCAGUCUGUUUAUUCCAGAUCCUAGCAAUCAAGGGAGCCAUGGUGGGAUGAGCUGAUCAGAGGAACCUGCACCAGUUUAUGUGAACUUGAUUUCUAAGCUCCCGAGAUCUCUGUUGGCAAGACAGGAUCUCUGAGAGUUCGCCACCAUUCCUUCUAGUGUGUAGAGUGGAGGACUGCUACCUGUGUCAGGGCUCCAUAUCCCUGCUCACUUCUUCAUUUCUUCCCUGCUCUCAUCAUACAGCCCCCAGCAUCUGUGGCUGAGACAGCUUUCAUGAAACUGUCCCCAGGGCCUAUCACCCUUGUCAGGCCAUUGCAUGUUGUUCCUUCAAAGAUUUUACUUGGCCAGUUAUUUUAUUGUUUUGUUUGUUUUUCUUUUUGUGUUCUUCUAAAGUCCUUUUAAUUCCCAAGAUAUUUAAAAACCUCUAAUGUUUUCUAGUAAGGCAAAUAUUGGUUUAUUGGCAAAGAAUUAGAGGGUCUGAUGGUGAUAGACGAGGAGUGUAAGGAAUUGUAAAAUAGGCGUUUAAUGAAAUGAUAACAUGGCUCUCUUUGGGUAAAUUGUUAUACUAAAAAAAUCAUGAAUUUUGACUUUCUAUUCUAAUCUAUGAAUUUGAGAAAGUCAUUGUUUCCUCAUCUGUAAAAUGGGUACAUCCAUACCUCCCUCAUGGUGCCCAGUGUAUACGUGUGUGACAGAUUAAUAACAUCUCAACAGAAAAUGUGAGUUUCUCUUUCCUCUAUAGUCUGGUUUCAUUGCACAUGAGGUGAUUAUUAUCAAUCUUAAUUUUAAAGGAGUCCAGAGGAAUACUUUGCCAAUGUUUUCAUUUUCAAACUCCCAGUUAGGAAACUCUUCCUUACUCUAACUUACUAUCUAACCCAAAUCUCUCUGGUUUUAAUUUAUUCUGUAACAUGUGAAAAAAACUCACCAUCAUGCUGAUCAGGCUGCCCCCCCCGCCAACCAAAGGCCUAGAUGUGGCGACUGGGAGCCUGAGAGUCAUAAAGAGAGCAGAGGGCGGCAUUUACUUGGUGUACUUUCUUUGCCAGCAAGAUAGACUGCACUUGCCUGCAGGGCUGGAGGAGGGAGGAGAAUUACUCCUGAUCACUCUGUCCUGAUUCUGAACCCAGCUGAAACUCCUUCACAAGAAGGGAGUAUCGCUAGUGAGGAGAAAAUGCACUUGCUGCCAUGAACUCAAAGACCAAUGUCCUGUAUAAAGGAUUCUUGCAUCUGUAGACACUGUGAAGUUUCUAAGAGCUUGAAUUCAAGGGAGUGGAGAUCUUCCAGCCUUUAAAGGAAUUGAUGUUCCCACAGAACCCAACUAGCUGCCUGCUCACAGAAAUGAACACAUCCCACAGACAAAGCUGGGCCUACACGGAGGCAUUUCAUUGAUAUGAUGGCUCAAUAGUAGCACCUGGAGAAAUAUCACAGUGAAACCACUGUCGAUGCUGGGCAUUGCACUGACCUGAUAUCUGAAACGUCAGACAGAUUGCUCUAGAGUCUACCCAAUUUAGCAACAGUUUGCACUCGCUGGUGUUUUGAACAUGAAAAGAGCUUUCAAAGUGAAAGAACCAAUUUGAAAAGAGCUUCAGCAUCGCUGAUGGGCCAGGAGAAAAUGGGACUUUCCCAGUUGUGGAAUGGCAACGCGCUCCAUCGCCUUGAGGGCAGCAAUGAACAAGCUCAAGGUAAACACUAACCAGAAGCUGAUGUGUGCGGUGAACACUGUGAUACCUAAUCCAGAUGCAAUACCCCAUUCUGAUCAGGAAGGGAUUUGUCUCCAAGCUGUUGAAAAGUCGGUGGAAGAAGCCUCCCAACUGACAGCCUUCCUUGGGGAGAGACGACACUGGGAGGUAGGCAGAUCAUGUAGGGUCUUGGAGGCUAUGGUAAGAAGUUUGGAUUUUUUUUACCGAUUGCGUUAAUCAUAUCCUGUUGUUUUAUUAAGGGACUUGUUUUAGUUGUGAAACUCACUUGAAAAUUUCAUAUGCUCACUCGCAGAAUAAAGUCUCACCUUUUAGCUUGAAAUAUGGAGCCCUUUUUGAGUCGUACACUCUUAACCUUUCCUACCCUACACUCGCUAUUCCUCCCUUUCUUGCCCCACACAUAUAUCUGUCAGACUGAUCUGCUGAUUUUCCUCAGAAGACAACAUUUUCAUCCUGCCUUUGUCCCCAACUUUCCCCCUCUAUUUCCCAUGGCCUGGAAUGCCCUCCCCUUGCCUGUCAAAACCACUUACCCAUACAAGACCCAACCGAAACCUCCAUUCCAUGAAGCCUUCUCGGACUACCCAGCUCUCAGCAAUUUUCCCUCUUCUGGAUCAACAUUCUUAUUUUCUAUCUGUCCUAUUGAUUCUUAGUAAUUUCUAGUCCCCAUGGAAUGAGGAAGGGACUAGAUUCUCCAAAAGAGUCCAAGUGGAAGCAGCUUGGGCAGACAUGCCCCUUGUAGUAAGUGACUUCUAUCACUGCUGGAGAAACUGGUAGCUGUAAAAAUGAGGUGGAUUGAGACAGGUCAAGGUAAGGACAGAGGCAGAUAAGGCUUUAUAUCCUUAGAAUGUAGGAGCAGUAUUUGGUGUUCCUUCUUUGAGGAGAUUAUCUGCUAAGAGAGUGUUAAAGGUGGAAAAACUAACACAGAAUCCAGUUGGAACCAUUAGAGCUCAGGAUAACUGGAUGUUGUGCUGUAGCUGGGGCUGCCCUUCCUGACAGGGGAUGCCUCAUCUACAGUGUAUAGUUGCCUGGCUGGACACUGAAACCACUGAUGUUGCUGAUGCCAAGUGCCAGUGUUGGGCCAUGACAUCAGGAACCUCAAACAAAUAGAAAGAAGGAAGUCCCUUUCUCUGCUUUCCUUUUCCUGCUUUCCAAUCUCCCUCUGGUGCAGUAGAUCUGAUACCUGUUGGGGUGUUAGAAUGACCUGUGAAAGAGGUUAAAUGGUGAUAGCUAGGCUCCCCAGACCACUUGAAAACUAUUGUCAAGGUAUGGGCCCAGUCAUCUAUAGCUUGCAAAGGUUCCCAAGGUAUUCUGACACAGACUGAUGGUUGCAAUCCACUGCUUAGUGCCUCUUGUUGGCAAAACUAGGUGGCAAAGUUGUUUGGGGAAAGUGUUUUUCUGAAUCAGAAUCCCAGCAUCCCAAAGAAGAAUGCAGAAGAAUGGAUUUGAAUCUGAGAGACAGUAGUUAAAUACAUGGCACAAUAUCCUUCUAGAUAUGAAUAAGGUUAUGUUUUAGUGAAAAACCCAACUUCCACUAAGAUCUGGAAGAUCUGGAAUUAGGGGCAGUGGAUAUGACACUGAAAGAGAACCUAGGUUCCCAUGAGAGGAAGGGAGCAUUGAAGGAACCUUUCUCUAGGCUUCACUCAUAAGAGAAUUAUGUGUUACUUAAAAGAACACAUGCUAGAAUCACAUGGCUUUCCAUGUCAGCCCCAUCCACUUAUUAUUCUGAGCUCUUGACAUUAUUUAACCUCCCCCCCGCCCCCACUUUCCUUAUCAGUAAAGGAAA